rnacentral:ncRNA from 1 species
GAAUUGAAGAGUUUGAUCAUGGCUCAGAUUGAACGCUGGCGGCAGGCUUAACACAUGCAAGUCGAACGGUAACAGGAGAAAGCUUGCUUUCUUGCUGACGAGUGGCGGACGGGUGAGUAAUGCUUGGGAAUCUGGCUUAUGGAGGGGGAUAACUGCGGGAAACUGCAGCUAAUACCGCGUAAUAUCGAAAGAUUAAAGGGGGCUUUGUAGCUCUUGCCAUAGGAUG